UCUAUCAGCAGGGAAGAAAGACUCGUAAGAGAGAUGACGGUACCUGACUAAGAAGCCCCGGCUAACUACGUGCCAGCAGCCGCGGUAAUACGUAGGGGGCAAGCGUUAUCCGGAUUUACUGGGUGUAAAGGGAGCGCAGACGGCCCGGCAAGUCUGAAGUGAAACCCCACCGCUCAACGGUGGGCUUGCUUUGGAAACUGUCAGGCUAGAGUACUGGAGAGGUAAGCGGAAUUCCUAGUGUAGCGGUGAAAUGCGUAGAUAUUAGGAGGAACAUCGGUGGCGAAGGCGGCUUACUGGACAGCAACUGACGUUGAGGCUCGAAGGCGUGCGGAGCAAACAGGAUUAGAUACCCUGGUAGUCCACGCG
rnacentral:rRNA from 1 species